AUGAGAAAUUUGGCCAAAUAUAAUAUUAUAGAUCAAGAAACAAAAAGACAGACAACAUAAACAAGAAACAAAAAAUUAUUAAAAAGUAAUCCGAUGAUGGUUGGAUACCCAGGUAAACUGGUCACCUUAUCAAAUCAUCCAAUGUAGCAAGCAAGCCAAUCAAAACAUAUGAGAAAACAAUCCACAACCAUGCUCUGUAAUGUAUCACACAAUUGGAUCCCACCCUUAAACACGAUUAAGUUGGGAUUCCAUA
rnacentral:lncRNA from 1 species